GGGCAGCAUCAGUAAACUGGAUACUGUGUUAAAAACAGUGCUCACAAGAUAGGGAAGCAACCUAAAUGUCCAUCAGUAGAGGAUUGGAUCAAGGAGAUGUGGUACAUACAUAUAAUGGAAUAUUACUCAGCCAUAAAAAGGCAUGAAAUAAUGCCUUUGCAACGACAUGGAUGUACCUAGAAAUUAUCAUACCAAGUAAGUCAGAAAAAUAUGAAUAUCGCAUGAGAUCACUAAUAUGUGGCAUCUAAUAAAAACGAUACAAUAGAACUUACAAAACAGAAACAGACUCAAAGAUUUUGAAACCACACUUAUAGUUACCAAAGGGGAAACAUUGGUGGUGGAGGGAAGGGUAAAUUAGGAGGUUGGGGUUGACGUACAUAUACUACUAUGUAAAACAGACAAGUAACAGAGAUGUACUGUAUAGCACAGGGAAAUCUACUCGAUACUCCAUGACAACCUAUAUGGGAAAGAAUCUGAAAAGGAGUGGAUGUAUGAGUAUGUAUAACUGAUUUACUUCACUGUAAACCUGAAAUUAACACACCUUUGUAAGUACACUAUAUUUCAGUUAAAAAAACAACAACGCUCACUUCUAAAUCUUCCAGAAACCAGCAAAGCCCAGCCCACUGAACUGGGCAAGAGGCUGAUGAGUUAGUACAACUCACAUGGACCAGCCUCCCUUCAUCUCUCAAGACCUCAUUAGUUAGAGAAGCUCUGCUGUGGUCUGAAUGUUUGUCUCUCCCUAAAAUUUAUACAUUGAAAUCCUGACUCCCAAGGUGAUGGAUGACAUUAGGAGGUGGGGACUUUGGGAGAUACUUAAGGGCUAAUUAAUUAACUAUGGGAUUCAUGCCUCAUAAAAGAGGCUCUAGAGAGAGCCCCCAUCUCUCCCACCACAUGAGGGCACAAGGAAAAGUCUGUGACCUGGAAGGGGACCCCCACCUAACCAGGCCGGUGCCCUGAUCUUGGACAUCUGGUCUCCAGAACGGUGAGAAAUAGAAUUUGGUGGUUUAGAGUACGGUUUGUGGUAUUUUGCGCUAUCAUCUUGAAUGGACUAAGACAAGCUGUCUUCCCCGGGCUGUGGACUGUUUGAGAUGCUUGAAUGAGAUAGACAAGUCCUUUUCCUCUCAGAGCUUCUGCUCUAAUGCGGGAGAGAGACAGGCAUAAGUGCACGGAGAAGAUACAUUCACAAAAUGACACGGUCCUUCCACAAGUGCCGAUGCCCUCUGUGCAGGUGGGAGACAUCAUAGGGAGACAUCAUAUAAGGAACAGAAAGGAGUCCGGGGACACUGGGUGGAUGGUAUCAUUUUCUGUGAUGGGAAGUCCAAUGAGAAAAGCAUAUUUGGAGGAGAAAAUAAUAAGCUUUGAAUAUGAUACGUUAAGAACGCCCUCCAGAAACUUCUGUGGAUCUGUGUAGUAGGGAGUCCCACGCAUUUACUGAAGCUGUGGAGAGGCUGGGCUGGAGAGGCAGUUUGGGGUGUCGCCCACAGGUAGAUGGUGUUCAGACCCAUGGGAAGGAAGGCACUGUGGGUGGAGGACAAGAGAAAUGAGGACUGAGUCUGGGGCACACCAACCUGUGUCAACAAGAGGGGGUUUCAGUGAGAAACUAAGAGGUGGCAGCCAGGGAAGUGGAAGGAAGCAAGGAGAGGAUUCUCUGAGCUCCCAGCUCUGCCCAGGUCGUAACUAGUCACCCCACCCCUGGGUGCUACCCCUCCUCUCUCUGUGUGCUUUAACUUCUGCCGGUAUUGGGUGCUUCUUCAGCCCAUGGUGCUACUUCUCUGGCUAUCUCCCAAAUUGGGGAAGAGACAAGAAGUGACCCUUGAUCUAAGUCACCCCUCCAGGAUAUAGGGUUUGCCGGGACAGAAGAGAAACCCAGGUUCACCCAGACAAAGGCAUCAACACAGUGGUGCAUGGCCCAGCCCACCUUGGGAGCACCGCCCUGAUCUUGUAUUGGUCUGGUAGCUGCGUAUGGGGACACCGCAGGCUGGAGGAUGGCUGUUUCCAUGACCACAGUCUUGUCAGGGAUUAUGAGAUCCAUCCAGCCAAGGCGACUCCUGGACCCUCUGGGGGAUUCAGAACUGGCCCAGGUAGAUCUGCCAUGGGAAGUCCUGCAUCCCGGGCUAUUCAUGAUUAUUGUUCUGCCUCCCACCUUCUGUCAACACCUCUGUUUUGUUUCCCUGAGGAAAUCCCGGAGGAGGAGGUCUGAAGUCUGUCUUAUUCUUGACUCUCUGCCAGCUUCAAACGCUAAAAAAUAUUCUCGACCACUCUUCCCUACACCACAGCCACAGUAACACCAGCUCCAAGCCACUUCUGUGACCUACACCACAGCUCACGGCAAUGCCAGAUCCUUAACCCCCCUGAAUGAGGCCAGGGAUCAAACCUGCAUCUUCAUGGAAACUAAUUCGAUUCAUUUCUGCUGAGCAACGACAGGAACUCCCUCUAAUUCUUCUUAAAUUUGCCUUUUCCUUAGCAGAGCUUCUUCCUAGACCUAAGCAAUACGCUGACCAUGGGUCUUAGUUUCAUUGGAAGUGCGAGUUUUCUCUUUCCAGGCAGUCUUCGCGGGUAUUUAAAUAAGAUGCUGGGAGCAGCUCAAAGAGGCUAGCCAGAAAUUAUUUUAAUCUCAAAAGCCCCAAUCCUACCAGAGCAUUUUAAUCUGAAAGAGACUUUCAAAGCCGAUUUUUGAAAUUUCUAUAAAAAGUGUUUUCCUAAAAAGCAAUUAAAAAUGUUGGGCCAAAUAUGAGAAGUAAAUUCUGUAGGGGACAGAAAAUGCUUGCAAAACUGAUACAUUUUUAUGACGAUUUCGGAUGCAUAAGUGAUUUAUAGUCCUUCCCAGAAUUAGGGUAAAAUAAUCGUGGAUUUUGCAUUUAAUUUUUCAAAGCCUGUCUUGGUCCCCCAUAGAUUGUCUAGUACCCCUCUGCUCCCAAAGUCCUUUAUCAUUCUUCUGCACUCCGUCUAUCAAACACCCGACCUUUUAAUUAAUUAUUAAUUAAUUUUUUUGAUUUUAGGGCCACACCUG
rnacentral:lncRNA from 1 species